rnacentral:rRNA from 1 species
UACGUAGGGGGCAAGCGCUAUCCGGAUUUACUGGGUGUAAAGGGAGCGUAGACGGCACGGCAAGCCAGAUGUGAAAGCCCGGGGCUCAACCCCGGGACUGCAUUUGGAACUGCUGAGCUAGAGUGUCGGAGAGGCAAGUGGAAUUCCUAGUGUAGCGGUGAAAUGCGUAGAUAUUAGGAGGAACACCAGUGGCGAAGGCGGCUUGCUGGACGAUGACUGACGUUGAGGCUCGAAAGCGUGGGGAGCAAACAGG